rnacentral:rRNA from 1 species
AUGAACGCUGGCGGCGUGCCUAAUACAUGCAAGUCGAGCGAACGGACGAGAAGCUUGCUUUUCUGAUGUUAGCGGCGGACGGGUGAGUAACACAUGGAUAACCUACCUAUAAGACUGGGAUAACUUCGGGAAACCGGAGCUAAUACCGGAUAAUAUUUUGAACCGCAUGGUUCAAAAGUGAAAGACGGUCUUGCUGUCACUUAUAGAUGGAUCCGCGCUGCAUUAGCUAGUUGGUAAGGUAACGGCUUACCAGGGCAACGAUGCAUAGCCGACCUGAGAGGGUGAUCGGCCACACUGGAACUGAGACACGGUCCAGACUCCUACGGGAGGCAGCAGUAGGGAAUCUUCCGCAAUGGGCGAAAGCCUGACGGAGCAACGCCGCGUGAGUGAUGAAGGUCUUCGGAUCGUAAAACUCUGUUAUUAGGGAAGAACAUAUGUGUAAGUAACUGUGCACAUCUUGACGGUACCUAAUCAGAAAGCCACGGCUAACUACGUG